GACGAACGCUGGCGGCGUGCUUAACACAUGCAAGUCGAACGGAAAGGCCCUGCUUUUGUGGGGUGCUCGAGUGGUGAACGGGUGAGUAACACGUGAGUAACCUGCCCUUGACUUUGGGAUAACUUCAGGAAACUGGGGCUAAUACCGGAUAGGAGCUCCUGCUGCAUGGUGGGGGUUGGAAAGUUUCGGCGGUUGGGGAUGGACUCGCGGCUUAUCAGCUUGUUGGUGGGGUAGUGGCUUACCAAGGCUUUGACGGGUAGCCGGCCUGAGAGGGUGACCGGCCACAUUGGGACUGAGAUACGGCCCAGACUCCUACGGGAGGCAGCAGUGGGGAAUAUUGCACAAUGGGCGGAAGCCUGAUGCAGCAACGCCGCGUGCGGGAUGACGGCCUUCGGGUUGUAAACCGCUUUCGCCUGUGACGAAGCGUGAGUGACGGUAAUGGGUAAAGAAGCACCGGCUAACCACGUG
rnacentral:rRNA from 1 species